ACUGCUUGUCGGCUUUUUGGCUAAGAUCAAAUGUAGUAUCUGUUCUUAUCAGUUUAAUAUUUGAAACGUUCUCUAUCCGAGGGCAAUAUAUUAAAUGGAUUUUUGGAGCAGGGAGGUGGAAUAGGAGCUUGCUCUGUCCACUCCACGCAUUGACCUGGUAUUGCAGUACUUCCAGGAAUGGUGCACCCCCA
rnacentral:snRNA from 1 species